UACGGAGGAUGCGAGCGUUAUCCGGAUUUAUUGGGUUUAAAGGGUGCGUAGGCGGGAUGCCAAGUCAGCGGUAAAAAUGCGGUGCUCAACGCCGUCGAGCCGUUGAAACUGGCGUUCUUGAGUGGGCGAGAAGUACGCGGAAUGCGUGGUGUAGCGGUGAAAUGCAUAGAUAUCACGCAGAACUCCGAUUGCGAAGGCAGCAUACCGGCGCCCUACUGACGCUGAGGCACGAAAGCGUGGGUAUCGAACAGG
rnacentral:rRNA from 1 species